GCCGGGCGUGGUGGCUCACGCCUGUAAUCCAAGCCCCCCCUUUGGAGGCCAAGACGGGUGGAUCACCUGAGGUUGGGAGUUCAAGACCAGCCUGACCAACAUGGUGAAACCCCGUCUUUA
rnacentral:SRP_RNA from 1 species